rnacentral:hammerhead_ribozyme from 1 species
AUCCAACUGACGAGUCCUGAAUAGGACGAAACGCGUGUCUUGAAU